UCUCCUCCAAUUUCCACUUUUUGGUUCAGACAUCAUACUGUUCUGUUCUUCAAUCCUUGUUGUGCUUAUUCCUGAAGCCCGUGCUGCUCUGAGAUGCAGGACAACAUACCCCUGGGCGAGCUAGUGCGUGCCAUGGGAGCUGGAGUUGGAGGGCUGCCGUAGGCCUCCAUGCUUCCUCUGCUGGAAACUGCGUCAUCUUCAUGUACAAGUCUGCUCUCGGAGUCCUCCUUCAUUCGUUGAUACCUUCCUAUUAGGGAUCUUGUUUUGGUCCUCGUACACUUCCUGUGUUUGGGUGGUCUCAUACAAUUCUGGCGUCCUUUUGAUCUGUAUUUUUUGGGACAAACAAGGUCGAGCUGGACGCAACCAAGGUCGCCUAUGGGCAAGGGCAACCUCUAGCUCAAGCUGCUCGAGGUGGAUGCCCAAGAUCAAGCCGGUUCCUACGCCUUGUUUGCCUUGUUCGCGUCGUCCCCAUCGGAACCGGGCUGCUUGCCGUAUUUAUGGGACAAACAAGGUCGUGCUGGCCGCGACCAAGGUCUACUAUGGGCAAGGGAAACCUCUAGCUCAAGCUGCUCGAGGUGGGCACCGGUGCCCCAGAGCAAGCUUGGCUCCUCGGCCCUGUUCAUGUCGCUCCCAUCGGAACCGGGCCGCUUGCUGUUCGUAUGGGUGAGAACCAUUUUCCUUCUGUGUCGAUCCAAACCAUGUUCGUAGUAUGUUUGGUUCAAAAAACAUACUGCACCUUGUGGAGAAGUACGCUUUGUUAAGUGUUGUUGGUGGUCGUAUUGAAGCUCAAGCUACCAGUGUAGAAUCCUUUUUGUUUUGAAAGACUAGUGAUGUAACUGCAGUCUAGAUCAGAGGCCAAGAAGUAACUUAUAAAA